CCCUGCCUUUUGUACACACCGCCCGUCGCACCUACCGAUUGAAUGGUCCGGUGAAAUCUUUGGAUUGGCACUUUAAUUUCUUCACGGAAAAUUUAGAGCCGAGAAGUUGAUUAAACCUUACCAUUUAG
rnacentral:rRNA from 1 species